GUCUUCGCCUCACUGUGCGUGCAGAUGUACUCACACCUGCCUGCUGCCAUUCCCGAGCAAGCUCUGCACUGGUGGCACUCCGACCCCAGAGCUAAAUCUUCUUUAGGAGAUUAUCCUGGUGUUCGCUGUCAUUACUGGACAUCCUGAAGCCUUCUUGAAAAGAAUGGAACCUCUUUAAAUGAAAUUCUUUGUGAUCUUAUAAAUUGCUGAGUUAGGUGCAAUCUUAGUAGCCUCAAUAUCUUUGCCUGUGAAGCCAUUUUUCUGCAACGCAAUGAUGGCUGCAUGUGUUUCUUUGCAGGUCACCAUGGUUAACAAUGGAAGAACAAUGAUUUAGAGCAUCAACCUCCGUUUAACAUGUCAAGUCUGUCAUUCUAACCCAAUCAGCCUGACUUAAUGAUAUCCAGCCUUGUGCUUGUCAAAAUUGAACAAGACGAUUACUAAAAUGAUCUCAGCAGCUCUAAUGUCAGCAAUGAAGUGCAGUGGAAUAAUUUGAGAGAAUAAGUUCAUUUUCAUGGCAAAGGAGGACUAUGCAAUUCAUCUGAUCACUCUUCAUAGCAUUCUGGAGUAUAUGCAAAUUGCUAUUAUAAAAACUUAAGCAGCAACUUUUCCAGUGUUUAUGUAAUUAUCAAAACUUUUGAGCUCAAAUGUACACAAGAUAUUAUUCUUCAACACAUAUUUGAAACUGCAUUUCCUUUUUCAAAGGAAAACAUGCGGCAAAUUAGGAGAUGGUGGUGUCUUGUUCUGCUGCAACACUUCCCCAUGCCGUCUGAGGAAGACCGAGUGCAGGCACGAAAAAGACGGAGAGAGGAAAGAGUAAAACAGGUGAGAGACAACUUGAUUAAUUCUUGUAGUUUAACUGUUGCUUGCAGACUAAAGCAUAAUUCCUUCACUUAUUUCAGGGCCUGGAAGUGGUCCCUCCUAAGAAGUCCUGCCUUACUGAAUUAGUCUGUGCAGCAUCAGGAGAAUUCUCUGCUUGAGGACACCUUUGAGGCAGCAAGAUGGUGUACCACAAGGUCCUUCAAAGGAAGCCUUUCCCUUCCCCAGGUCAUCACCAUGGACAGGGAAGCUUGCCGGAGGGCAGUGGAGAGGUUAUGCUUCUGUGAUGGCCUGGAUGAAGAGGAGAUGCACGAUUGCAGGGAACCGUUCCUGUUCAUGUUUACUUUUCAGUCUGACUAUGAGGAGUUCUGUAAAGAAAUUGAGGAAAAAAGGAAGAUGAAGGUGUUUUCUGGUUUUGAAAUGCCAUAGUACAGCGGUGUCACAGUUUUUGCAUUCUGUUUCCUCCUCACAUUGUUUUUUUUUGGAGGUUCUCUUGUUUUUUUGUGUGCUUUUUGGUUCAUUUGUUUGUAAUUUUUUUUAUUCCUGUGUUGGCUGUUGUUUGUUCUAUUAAAUUUACCUUUUUUGAAAAAUUUAGUCUGCAUUCUUGGGUGUCUCACACAAUGUCUCACCACCCCGCCUCAAACCCUGGCAUGUUUUAAGAAGUAUCAACACAAUUUAAGUCUCUGUUCCUCUUAAUGUAGCUGAUAUAAUGGAGUGUACAACAAAUUUACCCGUGUCUGUCUGUACUGUUUUACACUCACUUGGGAAAUGAUUAUUAAAAUAAAGGCAGCAUUGAUAAAAUCAACUAUUAAAAUGGUUUUGACAGGUUUAAAGAAUAGUCAAUCAAAUGCCUGAACCUGUUAUAUAGGUACCAAAAGUAUAGCUAAAAGACACAAAUACCUAUGUGCUAUAAAUACACAUACCAUACAAAAGUAGAAAAAAGAAUAAAAAUAUCAGAACAGAUUGGAUCAAAAAUGGCACCUGUAAUUAUCUGCUCUUUAAAAUUAUCUUGACAUCCAGCAAACAAGUCAUUUGAUUACCAAUGUUAUGCUUUACAUGGGUUUUGUGGGUUUUUAGGGCUUUCUAAACCUUAGAAAGGGGCUACUCGCGGUUUACCGGUUCCAUUGAGAGAGGGGCAGGAGUCAAAUAGUUGUCUCCACCCACCUCUAAACGUUUAACCACGCCCACAUUUAGCCCCGCCCCAAUCUCCGGGAUGCAGCCAGGGGUAGUUGGUCAGGCCGGGCAGCCUGACCGAUGCGGCGCCUAGCUGCUGCGGGCUGACCGCUCGUGGAGCUCUCGAACUCGGAGACAGAUCUGACCGGAGAAAUACUGCAGCUCGGUGAGAAGUCUAUAGGGCAUACAGCUUUUCCCUUAAAUCCCACCACCACGCCGACAAGAUCCCAAGUUUCUUUGUUUUUGUUGGCGCUGUUUACCGAAGAAGCAGCGGGAACACCAGCAAGUUUCAUCAGACUCGUAAAGUU
ensembl:lncRNA